rfam:Rhodobacteraceae bacterium O3.65 TRIHO_contig000074, whole genome shotgun sequence.
UGCGCAGGGCGUGUUUCAGCACGAUGUUGGGGAAACUCACCCCUUUGAGCCGCGCCGUGCGCACAUAUUGCGCUGUCAUGACCUCUGUCAUCGAGGCGCGGGUCAUGCGGGCGAUAUAGCCCAUGCCAUAAAGCGCGAUGGUCAGCACCGGCAAAAAGAAAUUUUCAAAGGUCGGGUUU